UACGUAGGGUGCAAGCGUUGUCCGGAAUUAUUGGGCGUAAAGAGCUUGUAGGCGGUUUGUCGCGUCUGCUGUGAAAUUUCGGGGCUCAACCCCGAACUUGCAGUGGGUACGGGCAGACUAGAGUGUGGUAGGGGAGACUGGAAUUCCUGGUGUAGCGGUGAAAUGCGCAGAUAUCAGGAGGAACACCGAUGGCGAAGGCAGGUCUCUGGGCCAUAACUGACGCUGAGAAGCGAAAGCAUAGGGAGCGAACAGG
rnacentral:rRNA from 1 species